rnacentral:SRP_RNA from 1 species
GCCAGGCAUGGUGGUUCAUGCCUGUAAUCCCAACACCUUGGGAGGCCGAGGUGGGUGGAUCACCUGAGGUCAGGAGUUCGAGACCAGCCUGGCCAACAUGGUGAAACCCCAUCUCUA